rnacentral:rRNA from 1 species
AGGAUUCCCCUAGUAACUGCGAGUGAAGCGGGAAAAGCUCAAAUUUAAAAUCUGGCGGUCUCUGGCCGUCCGAGUUGUAAUCUAGAGAAGUAAUGCCCGUGCUGGACCGUGUAUAAGUCUCCUGGGAUGGGGCGUCAUAGAGGGUGAGAAUCCCGUCUUUGACACGGACUACCAGUGCAUUGUGGUAUGCUCUCAAAGAGUCGAGUUGUUUGGGAAUGCAGCUCAAAAUGGGUGGUAAAUUCCAUCUAAAGCUAAAUAUUGGCGAGAGACCGAUAGCGAACAAGUACCGUGAGGGAAAGAUGAAAAGAACUUUGGAAAGAGAGUUAAACAGUACGUGAAAUUGCUGAAAGGGAAACGCUUGAAGUCAGUCGCGUUGGCCAGGGAUCAGCCUUGCUUUUGCAUGGUGUACUUUCUGGUUGAUGGGUCAGCAUCAAUUUUGACCGCUGGAAAAAGACCUGGGGAAUGUGGCAGCUUCGGCUGUGUUAUAGCCCCUAGUCGCAUACAGUGGUUGGGAUUGAGGAACUCAGCACGCCGCAAGGCCGGGUUUCGACCACGUUCGUGCUUAGGAUGCUGGCAUAAUGGCUUUAAGCGACCCGUCUUGAAACACGGACCAAGGAGUCUAACAUGCCUGCGAGUAUUUGGGUGGAAAACCCAAGUGCGUAAUGAAAGUGAAAGUUGAGAUCCCUGUCGUGGGGAGCAUCGACGCCCGGACCAGAACUUUUGGGACGGAUCCGCGGUGGAGCAUGUAUGUUGGGACCCGAAAGAUGGUGAACUAUGCCUGAAUAGGGUGAAGCCAGAGGAAACUCUGGUGGAGGCUCGUAGCGAUUCUGACGUGCAAAUCGAUCGUCAAAUUUGGGUAUAGGGGCGAAA